rnacentral:rRNA from 1 species
CCUUAGGUAGAGAAUACCGAGGCGAUCGGGCGAACUGUGGUUAAGGAACUCGGCAAAUUACCCCCGUAACUUCGGGAGAAGGGGGGCCACAGACUGUCAUACCCCACGCGGGUGGCAGCAGUAGGUGGCCGCAGAGACCAGGGGGAAGCGACUGUUUACUAAAAACACAGGUCCGUGCGAAGUCGUAAGACGAUGUAUACGGACUGACGCCUGCCCGGUGCUGGAACGUUAAGGGGACCGGUUAGUCCGCAAGGGCGAAGCUGAGAACUUAAGCGCCAGUAAACGGCGGUGGUAACUAUAACCAUCCUAAGGUAGCGAAAUUCCUUGUCGGGUAAGUUCCGACCUGCACGAAUGGCGUAACGACUUCCCUACUGUCUCAACCACAGGCCCGGCGAAAUUGCACUACGAGUAAAGAUGCUCGUUACGCGCGGAAGGACGGAAAGACCCCGGGACCUUCACUAUAGCUUGACAUUGGUAUCCGAAUUUAAUUGUGUAGGAUAGGUGGGAGGCUUUGAUCCGCGGACGCCAGUCCGUCGGGGAGCCAACGUUGAAAUACCACUCUGUUGACUUUGGGUAUCUAACUUCGGACCGUGAUCCGGUUCAGGGACAGUGUCUGGUGGGUAGUUUAACUGGGGCGGUUGCCUCCUAAAAUGUAACGGAGGCGCCCAAAGGUUCCCUCAGCCUGGUUGGCAAUCAGGUGUUGAGUGCAAGUGCACAAGGGAGCUUGACUGUGAGACUGACAGGUCGAGCAGGGACGAAAGUCGGGACUAGUGAUCCGGCACCUGCGAGUGGAAGCGGUGUCGCUCAACGGAUAAAAGGUACCCCGGGGGUAACAGGCUGAUCUUCCCCAAGAGUCCAUAUCGACGGGAUGGUUUGGCACCUCGAUGUCGGCUCGUCGCAUCCUGGGGCUGGAGUAGGUCCCAAGGGUUGGGCUGUUCGCCCAUUAAAGCGGCACGCGAGCUGGGUUUAGAACGUCGUGAGACAGUUCGGUCCCUAUCCUCCGCGCGCGUAGGAGACUUGAGAAGAGCUGUCCCUAGUACGAGAGGACCGGGACGGACGAACCUCUGGUGUGCCAGUUGUCAUGCCAAUGGCACGGCUGGUUAGCUACGUUCGGAAGGGAUAACCGCUGAAAGCAUCUAAGCGGGAAGCUCGCUUCAAGAUGAGGUCUCCCACCCCUUAGAGGGUUAAGGCCCCCAGCUAGACCACUGGGUUGAUAGGCCAGAAGUGUAAGCCUGGUAACAGGUUCAGCCGACUGGUACUAAUAGGCCGAGGACUUCACCAA